rnacentral:rRNA from 1 species
UACGGAGGGUGCAAGCGUUAUCCGGAUUCACUGGGUUUAAAGGGUGCGUAGGAGGGCAGGUAAGUCAGUGGUGAAAUCCCCGAGCUUAACUUGGGAACUGCCGUUGAUACUAUCUGUCUUGAAUACCGCGGAGGUGAGCGGAAUAUGUCAUGUAGCGGUGAAAUGCUUAGAUAUGACAUAGAACACCAAUUGCGAAGGCAGCUCGCUACACGAAUAUUGACUCUGAGGCACGAAAGCGUGGGGAUCAAACAGG